rnacentral:rRNA from 1 species
UACGUAGGGUGCGAGCGUUGUCCGGAAUUAUCGGGCGUAAAGGGCUCGUAGGCGGUUUGUCGCGUUCGGGAGUGAAAUCCACUGGCUUAACUGGUGGCUUGCUUUCGAUACGGGCAGACUGGAGGUAUGCAGGGGAGAACGGAAUUCCUGGUGUAGCGGUGGAAUGCGCAGAUAUCAGGAGGAACACCAACAGCGAAGGCAGAUCUCUGGGACGUAACUGACGCUGAGACGCGAAAGCGUGGGAAGCAAACAGG